ACACGGUGGAUGCCCUGGCAGUCAGAGGCGAUGAAGGGCGUACUAAUCUGCGAUAAGCGCCGGUAAGGUGAUAUGAACCGUUAUAACCGGCGAUACCCGAAUGGGGAAACCCAGUGUGAUUCGUCACACUAUCAUUAACUGAAUCCAUAGGUUAAUGAGGCGAACCGGGGGAACUGAAACAUCUAAGUACCCCGAGGAAAAGAAAUCAACCGAGAUUCCCCCAGUAGCGGCGAGCGAACGGGGAGGAGCCCAGAGCCUGAAUCAGCAUGUGUGUUAGUGGAAGCGUCUGGAAAGGCGCGCGAUACAGGGUGACAGCCCCGUACACAAAAGCGCAUGUGCUGUGAGCUCGAUGAGUAGGGCGGGACACGUGGUAUCCUGUCUGAAUAUGGGGGGACCAUCCUCCAAGGCUAAAUACUCCUGACUGACCGAUAGUGAACCAGUACCGUGAGGGAAAGGCGAAAAGAACCCCGGCGAGGGGAGUGAAAAAGAACCUGAAACCGUGUACGUACAAGCAGUGGGAGCACAGGUUUACCUGUGUGACUGCGUACCUUUUGUAUAAUGGGUCAGCGACUUAUAU
rnacentral:rRNA from 1 species